rnacentral:rRNA from 1 species
AACGCGAAGAACCUUACCAGGCCUUGACAUGCACUAGACCGACGCUGAAAGGCGUCUUCCCUUCGGGGCUGGUGCACAGGUGCUGCAUGGCUGUCGUCAGCUCGUGUCGUGAGAUGUUGCGUUAAGUCGCGCAACGAGCGCAACCCCUGUCCUUAGUUGCCAUCAGGUAAAGCUGGGCACUCUAGGGAGACAAACCCUCUCUGAGGGUGGGAAGGUGGGGAUGACGUCAAGUCAGGAUGGCCCUUACGGCCUGGGCUGCACACGUGCUACAAUGCUCGGUACAGAGGGACGCAAGACCGCGAGGUGGAGCAAAUCCCAAAAACCGAGCCCAGUUCAGAUUGCAGUCUGCAACUCGACUGCAUGAAGCCGGAAUCGCUAGUAAUGGCGUAUCAGCUACGACGCCGUGAAUACGUUCCCGGGCCUUGUACACACCG